UACGGAGGGUGCAAGCGUUAUCCGGAUUCACUGGGUUUAAAGGGUGCGUAGGCGGGUAGGUAAGUCAGUGGUGAAAUCUUCGAGCUUAACUCGGAAACUGCCUUUGAUACUAUCUAUCUUGAAUAUUGUGGAGGUAAGCGGAAUAUGUCAUGUAGCGGUGAAAUGCUUAGAUAUGACAUAGAACACCUAUUGCGAAGGCAGCUUACUACGCAUAUAUUGACGCUGAGGCACGAAAGCGUGGGGAGCGAACAGG
rnacentral:rRNA from 1 species